CCUACGGGAGGCAGCAGUGGGGAAUAUUGGACAAUGGGGGCAACCCUGAUCCAGCCAUGCCGCGUGUGUGAAGAAGGCCCUCGGGUUGUAAAGCACUUUCAGUGAGGAAGAACGCCUGGUGGUUAAUACCCAUCAGGAAAGACAUCACUCACAGAAGAAGCACCGGCUAACUCCGUGCCAGCAGCCGCGGUAAUACGGAGGGUGCGAGCGUUAAUCGGAAUUACUGGGCGUAAAGCGCGCGUAGGUGGCUUGAUAAGCCGGUUGUGAAAGCCCCGGGCUCAACCUGGGAACGGCAUCCGGAACUGUCAAGCUAGAGUGCAGGAGAGGAAGGUAGAAUUCCCGGUGUAGCGGUGAAAUGCGUAGAGAUCGGGAGGAAUACCAGUGGCGAAGGCGGCCUUCUGGACUGACACUGACACUGAGGUGCGCAAGCGUGGGUAGCAAACAGGAUUAGAUACCCGAGUAGUC
rnacentral:rRNA from 1 species